rnacentral:tRNA from 1 species
UAGAUUGAAGCCACAUAAGGUGUUUAGCUGUUAACUAAAAGUUUGUAGGUUUGAGUCCUGCCAAUCUAG